rnacentral:rRNA from 1 species
AGUGAACGCUGGCGGUAGGCCUAACACAUGCAAGUCGAACGGCAGCACAGUAAGAGCUUGCUCUUACGGGUGGCGAGUGGCGGACGGGUGAGGAAUACAUCGGAAUCUACUUUUUCGUGGGGGAUAACGUAGGGAAACUUACGCUAAUACCGCAUACGACCUACGGGUGAAAGCAGUGGAUCUUCGGACCUUGCGCGAUUGAAUGAGCCGAUGUCGGAUUAGCUAGUUGGCGGGGUAAAGGCCCACCAAGGCGACGAUCCGUAGCUAGUCUGAGAGGAUGAUCAGCCACACUGGAACUGAGACACGGUCCAGACUCCUACGGGAGGCAGCAGUGGGGAAUAUUGGACAAAGGGCGCAAGCCUGAUCCAGCCAUACCGCGUGGGUGAAGAAGGCCUUCGGGUUGUAAAGCCCUUUUGUUGGGAAAGAAAAGCAGCAGGUUAAUACCCCGCUGUUCUGACGGUACCCAAAGAAUAAGCACCGGCUAACUUCGUG